rnacentral:rRNA from 1 species
UACGUAUGGUGCAAGCGUUAUCCGGAUUUACUGGGUGUAAAGGGAGCGUAGACGGAUAGGCAAGUCUGGAGUGAAAACCCAGGGCUCAACUCUGGGACUGCUUUGGAAACUGCAGAUCUGGAGUGCCGGAGAGGUAAGCGGAAUUCCUAGUGUAGCGGUGAAAUGCGUAGAUAUUAGGAGGAACACCAGUGGCGAAGGCGGCUUACUGGACGGUGACUGACGUUGAGGCUCGAAAGCGUGGGGAGCAAACAGG